AGCGAACGCUGGCGGCAGGCUUAACACAUGCAAGUCGAACGGGCACUUCGGUGCUAGUGGCAGACGGGUGAGUAACGCGUGGGAACGUGCCUUUCGGUUCGGAAUAAUCCAUGGAAACUUGGACUAAUACCGGAUACGCCCUUUGGGGGAAAGAUUUAUCGCCGAAAGAUCGGCCCGGGUCUGAUUAGCUAGUUGGUGAGGUAAAGGCUCAACAAGGCGACGAUCAGUAGCUGGUUUGAGAGGAUGAUCAGCCACACUGGGAAUGAGACACGGCCCAGAGUCCUACGGGAGGCAGCAGUGGAGAAUAUUGGACAAUGGGCGAGAGCCUGAUCCAGCCAUGCCGCGUGAGUGAUGAAGGCCUUAGGGUUGUAAAGCUCUUUUGUCCGGGAAGAUAAUGACUGUACCGGAAGAAUAAGCCCCGGCUAACUUCGUGCCAGCAGCCGCCGCAGUAA
rnacentral:rRNA from 1 species